AGUUUGAUCAUGGCUCACGACGAACGCUGGCGGCGUGCCUAAUACAUGCAAGUCGAACGAAUUGGUGCUUGCAUCAUUGAGUGGCGAACUGGUGAGUAACACGUGGGAAACCUGCCCAGAAGCGGGGGAUAACACCUGGAAACAGAUGCUAAUACCGCAUAACAACUUGACCGCACGGUCCAAGUUGAAAGAUGUCCGUAUCAAUUUUGGAUGGUCCCGCGGCAUAUUACCUAGAUGGUGGGGUAACGGCUCACCAUGGCAAUGAUACGUAGCCGACCUGAAAGGGUAAUCGGCCACAUUGGGACUGAGACACGGCCCAGACUCCUACUGGAGGCAGCAGUAAGGAAUCUUCCACAAUGGACGAAAGUCUGAUGGAGCAACGCCGCGUGAGUGAAGAAGGGUUUCAGC
rnacentral:rRNA from 1 species